rnacentral:lncRNA from 1 species
CGCUAGUAGUUGAAAUUUGGCAAUUAAGAUGGCACAAUACGGGGCUGAAUAUGGCAACCAAAAGAGCCAGUACGAUGAGUACGGAAACCCAGUUCGUCAGACAGACGAAUAUGGUAACCCAGCCCGCCAUGGAGGUACCAUGGGUGAUUAUGGAACCACUGGCACUACUGGAGCCUAUGGUGGCACAGCUGGAGCACAUGGGACUUAUGCAACUGGAACCACCGGCACUACCGGUACCGGUGCGUAUGCCACCCAGCCUGGCACUGAUGUGGGGAAGGAGCACCAUGGCCUUGGUGGCAUGCUUCAUCGCUCUGGUAGCGGUAGCUCUAGCUCGGUAUGCCCUCCUAAUUAAUCUCGUCUUGCUUAAAUUGUACUGAGUUGUAGUAGCAUUUAACAAAUCUUGACCAGCUUGUGAUGACUGGUAAUUAAAAAGUUCUUAUCUGUUUUCUUUUUGUUUUUUCGGUUGGGAUGCAGUCCGAGGAUGAUGGGCAAGGCGGGAGGAGGAAGAAGGGGAUGAAGGAGAAGAUAAAGGAGAAACUGCCUGGCGGUCACAAGGAGGCUCGACCUGGACAAGAAUAUUCGAGUGCUACUACAGCUCCUGGAUACGGCGGGGAAGGAGAGCAGCACGAGAAGAAAGGAAUUAUGGAUAAAAUCAAGGAGAAAUUACCAGGGGGUCACAACAACUGAAGAUCUAAUUCUAAUAAUAUGGGAUCCAAUUAUGAUAUUGUGUACCCCUAUUUUCAAUCUCAAUCUCAAUCUCGUUCGUGUCAUGUUUGUGUUUUCUGAGAUUUGAGUGUGUGGACGUCUUGAGUUUCUGUAAUUGGAAUAAAGAUGAUGAUGAUGACUCUGUAGUGUGUUUGUCCGUAUAUUCGGCGUCUUGUACUCGGGUCAUCUGGUCAUGUAUGUAUGUAACAUGUUAUGUAUCAAAUACGUGAAGUUUUGCGUUACUUUAGCGUGUGAUCGCUUGUAAGUUGUAAGGAUUACGACUCUGGUCGCAUCUAUUCUUUUUUGUCUCCUCAAACCAUAAUGCGCUAACACGAGCAGUGCAAACAAGAUUUCUUAUUAGCAAUAUAACCAGUAGUAACUCAACCCCUCAGGACCUUGAAGUCAGUAGAGUAGUUGUAGGCUCUUGUAAUUGUACACCAAUAUCUCCAAAGUUUCCAACUUCACUAUAUAUUAGUUCCUUGAUCCAAUACCAAAACCAAGCAAGCAAAUGCCACACAGAAAAUCGGGACAGGGACAAGAUAUGGACCUAGCAAAUCAAUAGACUCAGUUCAGAGGUAUAUGCUUGCAUUUGCGUGGCCAAUCAUCAUUGUUUUUUUUUUUUAAUUUUUUUUUAUCAUUUUUUUCGCCGCUGGGGAUGUAUGAUGGUUUGUUGACGAGGAACAAAUCAGAGAAAGGGUAACACCUUAGCAAACACUCGUGUUUGCUAAGGGGAAAAAGACACCAAUUUCAGUAACAGUGAUUGCAACUUUUCUUGGCAUGCGGCAAUUCUUUCAGCCCCAAGGAGGGGGGGAAAAGUGUUAUCCUUGGACUUCACCUUUAGGCCAAGCAGGGUACACCUAAUAUUCAAGGAACGGUUAGUGACAAAAUGUGGCUGAGGGCCUGAGACUCGAUACGUCAGGGGAUCCAAAGCAGACCAUAAGAACCAGGCAAGAAUAUCAAUUUUACUAGAGAUGCGAAACCCGAGGAGAGAAAGAAACGACAUAAGGUCCUUUUGGAGAGUAUUAUCACAGAUGUGAAUGUGAUGCGAUGCGACAAAAAAAGUGAAUGUGAUGCGGCUUCAGAGUAGAAUAUCGUGUUAGAUUGCAGAGGCGAUGAACCACCAUCACAUCAUUGACUCUUUAAGUAUACGCUAUAUUUACCUGGAUUAUCUGGGAUUAACACACGAUAGUAUCACAAGCUUACUUCCAGUUCUGCCCCAACAAUGAAAGAAUCCAAACGGGGUUAAGGCUCAACCUACUGAAAAGAAUUCAAUGUUCCGGGAUAGGGGAUUCUCUUACUGAGGCCCAAAUAGAUUGGCUCUUUAAGUAAUUAUCUCAACCCUAACAAUUAAGAAUGUCUAGGCAUUUUCAUUGCUACCGUGGUUAACCCCAGGAUUCCAACUUCAAUCACCAAAAAUCACCACAGGAGCAUAUUCCUUUCCGGAAAUGGUGGAACCUCAAGUUAUCCCUAACAACUAUCUCCCUGCUCGUGAGCUGAGAUGCUCUGCUCAUUACAGAGUGGCAGUCCUCACAUAUUCUCAGGUUCUUGGUGAUUCUGAUAACACAAUUAGCACUUGUAGUUAGCAGGGAAUACGCCAAAGCGAGCUUUUCACUAUGCGUUAGAAGGAUCCGCUCCUUUUCUUCAUCACUUACAUCAUAAGGAGCAGAACUUAGUAUUGGCUGAUAGCCAUGGACCUUUAGUCUCUUAAGAAGAUCCUGUAGUGUCUGCUUAAUCAAUUUAGACUCUGGAUGAAUCGUGUCAUCAGAAUAGAAGUUGUGAAGUCCCCCAUUUUCAUCUUCAACCAUGCUAAGUGAAGGAGUUUUUAUUAAACGUUUUGCUCUUAUCAACUUCCUUACUCUUGAAACAUCUUCCCACCUUCCAGCUGAAGCAUAGAUAUGGGAAAGCAAGACAUAGUUUCCAAUACCAUCAGGUUCAAGUUGAAACAGUUGCUUAGCAGCUAUUUCAGCAACCUUAGGAUUUCUAUGAAUUCGGCAAGCUCCUAGCAAGGCUCCCCAAAUGCUGCCAUUGGGCUCUAUUGGCAUCGUUUGAAUAAGUUCCAGUGCUUCUUCCAGUCUUCCAGCUCUGCCAAGGAGAUCAAUCAUGCAAGUAUAGUGGUCAACAGACGGCUUAAUACCACAACCAUUCUUCAUCAUUCCAAAGAAAUGCUGACCUUGUUCUACCAAGCCUGCAUGACUACAUGCGGCAAGGACCCCGACAAAAGUCACCUUAUUAGGCUUCACCUCAACCUUCAUCAUCUUCUCAAACAACUCUAUUGCUUCUCUAGCACAUCCGUGCAUUGCAAACCCACCAAUCAUUGAACUAUAAGAGAAAACAUUUCGAUCCUUCAUACUCUCAAAAACCUUAAAUGCAUCCUCCACACUCCCACACUUCGAGUACAUAUCAAUUAAUGCCGACCCAACAAGGACAUUAUCCGUAAGUCCAAAUCCUGACUUCUCUGCAAAAUCCCGGACCCAAUUUGCGUACUUGAUUGCACCCAAUUGAGCACAAGCUGAAAUAACACUAGACAAGGUCACUUCAUCCGUGUUUACCCCAGAAUUCUGCAUUUUCUCAAAGUACUCUAACGCUUCCUUAGGCUGAGCAUUCUGUGCAAACCCUGUCACCAUCGCGGUCCAUGCCACCAUAUCCUUCACAGGAAGCCUAUCAAACAACUCGCUUGCCGCCACCAUAUCCCCGCUCUUCGCAUAUGCAACGAUCAAAGCUGUAAAAGAAAUGACGUCCCUCGUGGGCAAUUCAUCAAAUACCCUCCUAGCAAAAUCCAAGCACCCACAUUUUACAUACAUAUCAAUCAACGUAUUUCCCACAAAUAAAUCCUGGACAAACCCACCAAUCUUCAAGCUUUGCCCAUGAAUUUGCCUGCCCAAAUCCACAUUCAACACGCCAGUACAAGCCUUCAACAAUGCCGUAAAAGUAAAUGAAACGGGCAAAAUAUCAUCCCUCCUCAUUUGGCCAUACAAAAAUACGGCCUUUUCUAGUGGCCCCUGAACAGAAUAACCGCGGAUAAUUGCUGUAUAGAGAAAAGGGUUGGGGCAAUAUACCUGGCUGAAGAUCAGACGGGCGUAAGUAUCGAUGGGGGUAUUGAGUUUGCAGAGCACCCGAACGAGUUUUGUUAGGAGGAAGCUGCAUUGGUCGAGACCUUUUCUGAUGAUAUGAGCGUGGACUCUCUUGAUUUCUGUGAGACUAAUGCAGGAAUCGAGGAUUGAGACGAGCUGGGCUUCUAGAAGCUUUGUUUCUUGAAGCUUAGAGACGGGAAUGAAGGGUUCUUGGAGGUCCAGAGCUGGAGCUUUCGGUUCGUAGAAUUGGGGGAUGAGAAUUGCAGGGCGUCUAAGGGUUUUAAUCAGCUUCUUGGAAAGUGAAACCAUCACAUAUUUUGCACAGAAUUUGUGGACUAGAAGUGGCCGUUUGGGGAUGCAGAAGAGAGUGAAUUUUGUGUUGGCGCCAAAUAACAGCAAUCUGUUGUUAAAUUUGAGAGUAAACAAGAGGGUGUAGUCGUCAGCGCAAGGUAGUGAAGAAUUGACGCUACUAAUUGCCAAACCAAUUUUCUUUUUCUUUUUAUUGUUAUGCUUAGAUAAUAUGUAGAUAAUGAAAACUUGUAAUUUAUCUGCAUGAAGCAUAAUGAUUAUUAUAUGUUUACUUCAACAAAACUAAAGUUGUGAUAGUAAAAUAUUUGAAAAUUUUUUUUUUAAAAAAUAUUAUAACACUUUUUUUUUUUAUAUGAAGUAUGCGACAUAUAAGAAAUAAUAAAAAAAAAAUGCGUUAAUAAUGCCCAUAAAUACAAACAAGCCCAGUUCCGUAAACAUCUUCAAAACGUUGUGAAGAUAUUUAUAUUUCUGAGUUGGAUGCGCUUUAAACGGUUUAAUAAACCAACCACCAAAAAGAUAAAGGCCUCAUGAAAAAGACAACCAUAUAUAAGUUACUCGUGCAACAAAUGUUCAUCAUCGGGGCCUGUUUAUGAUAGUAAUUGGUAAAAGAAGAAAAGAACAGGAAAAUUUGCAGAGGGAAAAGGAGGUUAGUUAAUUAGUAGGGGCACUAAUCAUAUAGCAAAUAAUCGGCUUUCAUAUGACUAACCAACAUCAUACAGCAUAUAUAUAUUUUGACAAACCUACUAAUGAUGUACAGCUCAAACAAAAAAAUACCAAAGGUUUUCACUACCAUAAUGAGCAGCAGCAGAUUAGUGUGCUUUCUGGUGUGCCUUGACGUUCCGAAGCACAUCCUUCAGAACCGCUGCAAUUCUUUGCUCCAUAUGGCGUUCUAAAAACCUUUCUUUCACCCUCUCAUAGCCUCUCUUCCCCAUCGUCAGUCUCCUUUCAACAUGAGUAGCAAGUUUAACCAUAUUUCUCGCAAGAGGCAUUACUCCCUGUUUCCCUACCGGAUGCAGAAGACCUGUUGAUCCAUUCACCACAAUUUCUUGAGUGCCACCUGCUGCUGUUCCCUGAAAAUCAAGCCAUAAUCAAGCAGUCAUAAGAUAACCUAUACUCUGAAUCAACCGAAUGUCCUCAAGAAUAUAGAAGAGCUAAAAUCUCAUGCAUUUUUUACUGGAACAGAUGUCAGAGAUUCAGGGCAACCAUACCAGUACGGGUAACUGAAAUGCCAUGGCUUCAAUUGUUAUCCUCCCAAAGCACUCACCUCGUGCCUACAUGGAGGGAUGAGGAUGUAGAUAUUAGUACCGACACCGAGACCGAGAUCAAGAUACAUUUCACAAACACCCUAAAAAAGUCGUACAAAAUAGCAGACAAACUUGUUUCACAAUGAGAUUUUUAAAUUGUUAACAAAUUCACAACUAUGGUUCUCUUUGAGUCCUCCCUUAAUUGCAUGACGUCAUUUGUAGAAUUCAAAUCUAACAAAAGCAUGUAGAAUCACAUGCUCAUGGGUUGCAAAUCAAACAGGAAUAAAAUUUUUGGGAAAAUAUAUCUACACUAUAUACUGGACUCAUCUUUCAUUUGAAAUGAGAACUUAAUUUUACCACUACUGGACCCAUAUUUAGGCAAAAGGGAAGAGGGGGAAAUAAAAACAUCAAAAGUGAGCUCAGCAAUUGAAGUUCUAAGAAUGCAAUAAGUCGGCUAGUGUAGCUUUUCAACUGCCCAGGCAAAAAGGACCCACGAGAGAAAAAAUCUUUCCAGUGUUUGGUGCAAAAGGAAAAUGCGAUCAAAUUGACCUUUUACUACUUUUGCUACAUAGAACGUGCCUUUUUUGUGCAAUUUAUGACAUUAAACCGAAAAAGCUUCCAGCCAGCCUUCUAAAUAUUUGAAUAGGUUUUUUUAUUAAAUUUGAUUGGCAAUGGCAUGUUACAAUGUUCAGUAAAACAUACAGAACUUACAAAAUAAUAAUUAGGAACAGGUCACAAUUCCAAAUAACUUUCUCCUAUCUAGGACAUGGUGGAUAUGGUUUUUCUAACAAUUUUUUAAGAUUGUCGGCCGUGCAGUUUCUCUAAAUUAUACAUGUAUUUGGAGAAAAUAAAUAGAUAACAAAUACUGAAUGUGCAUGGGGGCAAAAGAACGUAAAUUGCAGCCAGAGAUUUGCAAAGUUAACAGCGGCAGCAGAUAAAAAUGAUUUACCUGAGAAUUCUGGACAAGAACAUCAAUUGCAGCAAGAUAAGGAGCUACAGCCAGAGUCUUAUUAACGAAAUGAACAUGACCCUGAAUCUUUUUAGAUUCAACAAAGGCCCUCAGCUCAGACUCAAAUUUGCUUUGAGCAUUUACAUCACUCCCCACAAUUGCAGCGUGUAUAGGUGGCACUUGUAGCUUCUGGUGCUUGAUGUAUAUUAGGCUCUCGUGAAAAGAAUUCAGAAACAAAUCUUGUCCUUUUCCACGAGAAACACCUACAGCAUUACAACCACCAAACCAUCAAACAAAAAUAAAAAUAAAAGCAUGAAUAUUUACUUAGCAAGUCUUAUAAGCAGAACAGACAAAAUAUUCACUGUCGGUGAUUUGCAAACAUCAGUACAACCUCCUCAUACAAAUAUGCCAAUAAGUAAAAAGAUCAUUUAUACAUAGAAGACUUGCAAAAUGAAGAUGCCCAAUAAAUCAAGUUAAGCCAAAAAAAAAAAAACUGGGUGAGUAUUCAUGAUUCUGAUCCUUUCAGGAAUCAAGCAUACUUGGUUGACGACCUCACUUACGGAGGCACCUCUGCAUUUGGUGGAAAGUACAAGACUAAUAUGCAAGGUGAGGAUCACAGGACUUAAAUCUUGACAAAAAUCAGGAAAGCUCACAGAGGGAGGGAAGCUGAAGCGACUGUUGAUGUGCAAGAAUUGAUAGAUGAUGAAUGUGAAGAAGAUUAUCAGACUUUCCUUGACCAUUUAAACUUUAAUGGCGAAAAAAUGGUUCUGAAAUACAAAAAGUCGAUGCCUUAUAUAUGACGGGGAACUAAAUGUCCAAACUCAACUCCGUGCAGUGUGUGUGUGUAUAUAUAUCCUUAAUUAUGAAUGCAACAGGAAGAAAAAUUCAUCCUAACGUGUCUAAAGCUCAUGAUUUCUUCUUAAUUUACCACAGCAGUUGUUUAAAUACAAUAUCAAGUCAGUCUCUCAAACAAGCUUAAAAACUCCAAAAAACAUUGUGGAACAACCUCCCCUAUACUAAACCAAAUCUCAAAUUCUUCUCACAAAAACAGCCCCCAGGUUCAACGGAAGCAUAAGGACCCCAAACAACCUCCAAAAAAA